ACUAUUUUGGCAGAUAAGUGCGUUAGAUUUAGAAUCUAUAAAUGUGAAGUUAUUGUUUACAAGUAGUA
rnacentral:tRNA from 1 species